rnacentral:rRNA from 1 species
AACGAACGCUGGCGGCAAGCCUAACACAUGCAAGUCGAACGAGAUCUUCGGGUCUAGUGGCGCACGGGUGCGUAACGCGUGGGAAUCUGCCCUUUGGUUCGGAAUAACAGUUGGAAACGACUGCUACUACCGGAUGAUGACGAAAGUCCAAUGAUUUAUCGCCAGAGGAUGAGCCCGCGUAGGAGUAGCUAGUUGGUGUGGUAAAGGCGCACCAAGGCGACGUUCCUUAGCUGGUCUGAGAGGAUGAUCAGUCACACUGGGACUGAUACACGGCCCGGACUCCUACGGGAGGCAGCAGUGGGGAAUAUUGGACAAUGGGCGAAAGCCUGUUCCAGCAAUGCCGCGUGAGUGAUGAAGGCCUUGGGGUUGUAAAGCUCUUUUACCCGGGAUGAUAAUGACAGUACCGGGAGAAUAAGCUCCGGCUAACUCCGUGCCAGCCGCCGCUGUAA